rnacentral:ncRNA from 1 species
GCUUAUCAAGAGAGGUGGAGGGAUACGGCCCUAUGAAGCCCGGCAACCGCGGAAAGCGGCGGUGCCAAGUCCGUCAGGGAGACCUGGAAGAUGAGA